rnacentral:rRNA from 1 species
CCUACGGGGUGCAGCAGUGGGGAAUAUUGGACAAUGGGCGAAAGCCUGAUCCAGCCAUGCCGCGUGUGUGAAGAAGGCCUUCGGGUUGUAAAGCACUUUCAGUGGGGAAGAAAGCCUUGGGGCUAAUACCCUCGAGGAAGGACAUCACCCACAGAAGAAGCACCGGCUAACUCCGUGCCAGCAGCCGCGGUAAUACGGAGGGUGCGAGCGUUAAUCGGAAUUACUGGGCGUAAAGCGCGCGUAGGCGGUCUGAUAAGCCGGUUGUGAAAGCCCCGGGCUCAACCUGGGAACAGCAUCCGGAACUGUCAGGCUAGAGUGCAGGAGAGGAAGGUAGAAUUCCCGGUGUAGCGGUGAAAUGCGUAGAGAUCGGGAGGAAUACCAGUGGCGAAGGCGGCCUUCUGGACUGACACUGACGCUGAGGUGCGAAAGCGUGGGUAGCAAACAGGAUUAGAUACCCCAGUAGUC